UAUCUCUGUAGAGUCUGCAUAUCAAUAAGCGGAGGAAAAGAAACUAACAAGGAUUCCCUUAGUAACGGCGAGUGAAGCGGGAAGAGCUCAAAUUUGAAAUCUUCAAGGUUCUACCUUGACGAAUUGUAGUUUAAAGAAGUGUUUUCUGUUAGAUGAGUAGCAAAAGUUCCUUGGAAUGGGGACAUCAUAGAGGGUGAGAAUCCCGUAUUUGGUUAUUCAUUCUAGCUUUGUGAUACACUUUCAAAGAGUCGGAUUGUUUGGGAAUGCAGUCCAAAAUGGGUGGUAAAUUUCAUCUAAAGCUAAAUAUUGGCGAGAGACCGAUAGCGAACAAGUACCGUGAGGGAAAGAUGAAAAGAACUUUGAAAAGAGAGUUAAACAGUACGUGAAAUUGUCAAAAGGGAAGCGUUUGACACCAGUGUUGUUUUUCCGAAAAUCAAUUACGAAUGGCUUGAUUUUGUGUUGUAUUGACCUUAUCAGCUUUCUUCACUUUUUUCGAGUCUUUCUUAAUGCACUUUUCGGUUAACAAGUCAACAUCAAUUUCUUUUGUUGUAAAAGAGUAUUCGGAAGGUGGCUUUCUUUUCGGAGAAAGUGUUUAUAGCCCUAUACUUCUACAAUCGGAGAGAUUGAGGUCUGCAGCGUAGAUCCUUCGGGGUUAGAUACAUUUGUGCUAAGUUGUAGCUUUUCAUAGACAACUUGUUGACUAUGUUUAGUCAUGCGGCUUACUCGCUUAUGCUAUUUUACCUACGCUUAGGAUGUUGACUGAUAUGUAGUCGUA
rnacentral:rRNA from 1 species